UAAUUAAUUUGAGGGGGGAUAAUUAAUAAUUUAUAUUAUAAUAAAAAAAAUUUUAAUAUGGGGGUAUUAAAGUAUAUUUUAGAAAAAAUAUAAAUUUUUAUAGGGAAGUAGUAUUGUAAAAUAAAUUUGAAAUAAAUGAAAAUUAAUUAAUUGGAAAGUAAAUUUAAUUUAUUGUAUCUUGUGUAUCAGAGUUUAUUAAAAAAUAUUUUUUAGUAAAAAAAAUCUCGAAUUUGAAAGAGUUAAUUAAUUAAAGAAGUUAACGUUGUAUAGUUAUUUAAAAUAAUUAAUUAGAAAUGAAAUGUUAAUCGUUUUCAAAUAUAUCUAGUUUUUUUAGAAAAAAAUUUAAUUUUAAAUUUAAAAAAUUUAUAAUUAAAUUAAAAAAAUUAUAAAUUUUAAAAUUAAAUAUAUUAAGGGAUAAGCUUUAAUUUAAAUAAUUAUAAUGUACAAAAAAAAAAUUAAAAAUUUUAAAAUUUAUAUUGUUUAAAAAAUUUAAUUUAUUAUAAAAAAUUUUAGUAAAAAAAAAAUUUUAUAAAAAAAAUUUAAAUUUUUAUAAAAAAAUAAUUUUUAAUAAAAUAAAAUUAGAAAUAAGGAUAAAAUUAGUAUAAAAAAAAAUAAAAUAGUAAAUAAGUAAAAAAUUAAUUUAAAGGAAUUCGGCAAAAAUUUAUAUUCACUUGUUUAUCAAAAACAUGUCUUUUUGUUAAUAAUUUAAAGUUUAAUCUGCCCCCUGAUAUUAAAAUUAAAGGGCUGCAGUAUAUUGACUGUACAAAGGUAGCAUAAUCAAUAGUCUUUUAAAUGGAGACUUGUAUGAAAGAUUUGAUGAAAUAUAAACUGUCUUUAAUUUAGAAAUAGAAAUUAAUUUUUUAAUUAAAAAGUUAAAAUAUAUUUAAAAGACGAGAAGACCCUAUAGAGUUUUAUAAUUUUAUAAUAAUAAUUAAUUAUAUAAAUUUAAAUUUUAAUAAUUAAAAUUAUUUUAUUGGGGGGAUAGAAAAAUUAAAAUAACUUUUUUUAAAAAUAAAACAUAAAUAAGUGAUUAUAUGAUCCAUAAUUGAUGAUUAAAAGAAAAAAUUACCUUAGGGAUAACAGCGUAAUUUUUUUUUUUAGUACAAAUAAAAAAAAAAGGUUGCGACCUCGAUGUUGGAUUAAGAUAAAAUUUAAAUGCAAAAGUUUAAAAUUUUGAUCUGUUCGAUCAUUAAAAUCUUACAUGAUCUGAGUUCAAACCGGUGUAAGCCAGGUUGGUUUCUAUCUUUAGAAAAAUAAAAUAUUUCAGUACGAAAGGAUCAAAUAUUUUAAAUAAUUUAAUUUAAUUUUUAGAAUAUUAAUAAAAUAAUUUUAAACUAUUUUGGCAAAAAAAAUGUAGU
rnacentral:rRNA from 1 species